rnacentral:rRNA from 1 species
AGAGUUUGAUCCUGGCUCAGGACGAACGCUGGCGGCGUGCCUAAUACAUGCAAGUCGAGCGAGUGUAGCAAUACACGAGCGGCGGACGGGUGAGUAACGCGUGGGCAACCUGCCCUCUAGCCUGGGAUAACAGUUCGAAAGGACUGCUAACACCGGAUAUGCUCACACCCUGACAUCGGGGAGUGAGGAAAGUUUACACUAGAGGAUGGGCCCGCGUCCCAUUAGCUAGUUGGUGAGGUAACGGCUCACCAAGGCGACGAUGGGUAGCCGACCUGAGAGGGUGAUCGGCCACACUGGGACUGAGACACGGCCCAGACUCCUACGGGAGGCAGCAGUAGGGAAUUUUCCGCAAUGGACGAAAGUCUGACGGAGCAACGCCGCGUGAGUGAUGAAGGCCUUCGGGUCGUAAAACUCUGUUGUUAGGGAAGAACAAGUACCGGAGUAACUGCCGGCACCUUGACGGUACCUAACCAGAAAGCCACGGCUAACUACGUGCCAGCAGCCGCGGUAAUACGUAGGUGGCGAGCGUUGUCCGGAAUUAUUGGGCGUAAAGCGCGCGCAGGCGGUCCUUUAAGUCUGAUGUGAAAGCCCACGGCUCAACCGUGGAGGGUCAUUGGAAACUGGGGGACUUGAGUGCAGAAGAGGAAAGCGGAAUUCCACGUGUAGCGGUGAAAUGCGUAGAGAUGUGGAGGAACACCAGUGGCGAAGGCGGCUUUCUGGACGAUAACUGACGCUGAGGCGCGAAAGCGUGGGGAGCAAACAGGAUUAGAUACCCUGGUAGUCCACGCUGUAAACGAUGG